UCCGUGUGUUCCCGUUACAGAGAAGAGCAUUGAGCGAGCGCUAGCUAAUGUCGCCGGCCAUACUGUGGAAGCGAAGUGAGGGAAGCCGCGCAGAGUUUUUAUAACCGCACAGGCACUAGGAGCUCGUCCCAGUUUGUUGGCUGUUCAAGCUCGUGCGGUCUCCACCGAGGUGCGCUGUAGAUGGCUCCGGCUAGCACAUGCGAGAGCUUGAAAGAAGCAAGGAAGAAAAUAUCGGCAGGGAGUUAUUCUUUUUGAAAAGCCGACACAAAAAGAACAGCGAAUUCCUGUGUGACAUAGUGAUCAAGAGAUCCGUUUCUGAAAGACGCUAUGGCGCUGGUUGAAAUUUACUUUAACAGAAUUCCCAAAAUCACUAUUGUUGCUGGGGGUUUCUAAAAUUCAAUCACAGUGGAUGAGUGAAGUAAGACCUGUAUGUGUUUGAGAAACAAUUAUUUCUAAAAAAAUAAAGAGCGCGUGGGAAAUGCGUUAGCUGAUGGAAGAGUAUAUUUGUAUAUAAAA